rnacentral:rRNA from 1 species
GGAGGAAAAGAAACCAACAGGGAUUCCCCUAGUAACGGCGAGUGAAGCGGGAACAGCUCAAAUUUGAAAUCUGGCCUUCGGGUCCGAAUUGUAAUUUGCAGAGGAUGCUUUUGGUUAGGUACUUUCCGAGUUCCCUGGAACGGGACGCCUUAGAGGGUGAGAGCCCCGUACGGUUGGAUACCAAGCCUUUGUAAAGCUCCUUCGACGAGUCGAGUAGUUUGGGAAUGCUGCUCUAAAUGGGAGGUAAAUUUCUUCUAAAGCUAAAUACCGGCCAGAGACCGAUAGCGCACAAGUAGAGUGAUCGAAAGAUGAAAAGCACUUUGAAAAGAGGGUUAAAUAGCACGUGAAAUUGUUGAAAGGGAAGCGUUUAUGACCAGACUUUUUCCAGGCGAAUCAUCCGGUGUUCUCGCCGGUGCACUUCGUCUGGUUGAGGCCAGCAUCGGUUUUCGUGGGGGGAUAAAAGCGGUGGGAAUGUGACUCCUCCGGGAGUGUUAUAACCCGCCGUAUAAUACCUCCAUGGGGACCGAGGUUCGCGCUCUGCAAGGAUGCUGGCGUAAUGGUCAUCAACGACCCGUCUUGAAACACGGACCAAGGAGUCGAACAUUUGUGCGAGUGUUUGGGUGUUAAACCCUCACGCGUAAUGAAAGUGAACGGAGGUGAGAGCCCUUACGGGUGCAUCAUCGACCGAUCCUGAUGUUUUCGGAUGGAUUUGAGUAAGAGCAUAACUGUUCGGACCCGAAAGAUGGUGAACUAUGCGUGGAUAGGGUGAAGCCAGAGGAAACUCUGGUGGAGGCUCGCAGCGGUUCUGACGUGCAAAUCGAUCGUCAAAUCUGCGCAUGGGGGCGAAAGACUAAUCGAACCAUCUAGUA